UAUAAUUUCAGGAUGUCCCACUUUCGUAUUGUGAAGCCACAGUGCUGGCAGAAAAUGAGAGCAUCUACAUCAAAUCUCCACAACUGCAUCAGGGAGUAAAAGAUACUGUGAAUUCCACCAUUAAGCACCUUCAAAACAGAUUUGGUAGCCUUUUAGGCACAGUGAGAAGCAUGCAUGAAACACCUACUGCCAAGCACCUACAGCAGUGAAAUGCUUCAACAUCUUUAAUCAGGACUCCUGGCCAACUGAGAAAGAGAAACUCUUGGACUACGGUGCAGAAGAGCUUGAUUUUCUGCUAAAGCAUUUCUCUCCUGUCCUAGAAAGGAAUGGAUGUGAACAAGAUCUAGCUAAAGAGG